UACGGGGGGAGCAAGCGUUGUUCGGAUUUUCUGGGCGUAAAGGGCGCGUAGGCGGCCACCGCAAGUCGACUGUGAAAUCUCCGGGCUUAACUCGGAAAGGUCAGCCGAUACUGCGGGGCUAGAGUGCAGAAGGGGCAACUGGAAUUCUCGGUGUAGCGGUGAAAUGCGUAGAUAUCGAGAGGAACACCUGCGGCGAAGGCGGGUUGCUGGGCUGACACUGACGCUGAAGCGCGAAAGCUAGGGGAGCGAACGGG
rnacentral:rRNA from 1 species